UCAUGGCUCAGAUUGAACGCUGGCGGCAAGGCCUAACACAUGCAAGUCGAACGGUAACAGGAAGAAGCUUGCUUCUUUGCUGACGAGUGGCGGACGGGUGAGUAAUGUCUGGGAAACUGCCUGAUGAGGGGGAUAACUACUGGAAACGGUAGCUAAUACCGCAUAACGUCGCAAGACCAAAGAGGGGGACCUUCGGGCCUCUUGCCAUCGGAUGUGCCCAGAUGGGAUUAGCUAGUAGGUGGGGUAACGGCUCACCUAGGCGACGAUCCCUAGCUGGUCUGAGAGGAUGACCAGCCACACUGGAACUGAGACACGGUCCAGACUCCUACGGGAGGCAGCAGUGGGGAAUAUUGCACAAUGGGCGCAAGCCUGAUGCAGCCAUGCCGCGUGUAUGAAGAAGGCCUUCGGGUUGUAAAGUACUUUCAGCGGGGAGGAAGGGAGUAAAGUUAAUACCUUUGCUCAUUGACGUUACCCGCAGAAGAAGCACCGGCUAACUCCGUG
rnacentral:rRNA from 1 species